rnacentral:rRNA from 1 species
GUCCUGGCCGUAAACCAUGGGCACUGGGUAGGGGGCUCGCCGAUGGGCUCCCUGCCGCAGCGAAAGCGUGAAGUGCCCCGCCUGGGGAGUAUGGUCGCAAGGCUGAAACUCAAAGGAAUUGACGGGGGCUCACACAAGCGGUGGAGCAUGUGGCUUAAUUCGAGGCUACGCGCAAAACCUUAUCCCGGGCUUGACAUGCACGGAUUAGCCGGCGGAAACGUCGGUGACGCGCAAGUGGAACGUGCACAGGUGCUGCAUGGCUGUCGU